rnacentral:antisense_RNA from 1 species
CUUGAUCGAGCCGAGCCACAGCGGACGGCCGUCGGGCCGGUUCUGCCCGUACGUGGCGAGCAGGGCCUGCGCCUC